rnacentral:rRNA from 1 species
UACGAGAGGGGCGAGCGUUAUUCGGAAUGAUUGGGCGUAAAGCGCACGUAGGCUGUUUAGAAAAUCAGGGAUAAAAAACUCAAAGCUUUACUUUGAAACUUAUCUUCAUGAUUCCUAAACUCGAGUGAGCUAGAGGAGAAUGGAAUUCCUGGCGUAGAGGUAAAAUUUGUUGAUAUCAGGAGGAACACCAAAAGCGAAGGCAAUUCUCUGGGGCUUCACUGACGUUGAGGUGCGACAGCGUGGGGAUCAAAAGGG